GCGUCGGGAGUGCAACGGGUUGGAGCACGUGCCCUCGGACAGGGUGGGAUGCGAGUUCGAGUCCCGCCUUACGCA